rnacentral:misc_RNA from 1 species
AACCAUAGAAACCUGCGGAGUACCUGCGGAGGGAUCAUUAACGAAUCGUUAUGGACUUGGCUGUCGCUGGCUCUCUCUGGGAGCAUGUGCACGCCUUGUUCAAAAACUUUUCAUUCUUUUUUUAAUCCCCUGUGCACUCUUGUGGAUUGUGGAUGGAGCUUUGUCAAAGUAACUUUUGGUCUUGGGGAUUGUGCUUUAAACGGUGCUAUUCCCUACUUUUCCAUCCGCGGUUCAUGUCUU